rnacentral:rRNA from 1 species
GACGAACCGUACGAACGUUAUUCGGAAUUACUGGGCUUAAAGGGUGCGUAGGCUGUGCGGAAAGUUGGGUGUGAAAUACCUCAGCUUAACUGAGGAACGGCGUCCAAAACUACCGUGCUUGAGGGAGAUAGAGGUGAGCGGAACUUAGGGUGGAGCGGUGAAAUGCGUUGAUAUCCUGGGGAACACCGGUAGCGAAAGCGGCUCACUGGAUCUCUUCUGACGCUGAGGCACGAAAGCUAGGGGAGCAAACGGG